UGGCGGUGGGGCCGGGGUCGGUUGCUCUCUCGCCUCUCCUCUGUGAGGCUCCAAUACCGUGCGGCUCUUGGAGCUUUUAUUUUUGUUUUCUUAACCAUCUCUGGUUGCGAUCGGGUAUAGAGAGGAGGGACUUUGUUCCCGUUAGGGGCUUGUGGCUCAGCCAGAGCCGCUGGUCUGCUGCUCUGAACCUUGUCAGAAAAGGGCUGUCGUGGGGCUGCGCUUCUCAUCGAGCUCCUCUGCUUUCGCCUUGUCGCCUUUGUGCCUAUUCCCCCCUGCUUUUCUUUUGGAUCUGCGGAGCUUCCAAACGAACUUACCUCAGUAGGGUGCCCACGGAUUUGGUCUGCCCGGAAGAGAGAAGUGCCCAUAGAACCAUAGGAUGGCCUGGGUUGAAAAGGACCACGAUGAUCAUCGAGUUUCAACCCCCCUGCUGUGUGCAGGGUCGCCAACCACCAGACCCUGUGCCCGUGUAUUACACUGCCAAAGCAAAACCACAACGGCACGCAUCCGUGUGAUGUAAAUACAUGCAAUAACGCAGGCACGAAGAGUUCCUACAGCGCUCUUGGGAUCCAUUUGGAAAUGGCACUGAACCUGGCCAGGAGUUAGUAAUAUUUUCAGUGAAUAAUCUCGUUUCUGUUAGCGACCUGAGAGCUUCGGGUGAUAAAACAGCCCACACAAGAACAUGCAGAAGCAGAAAAUGCAAGAUAAUGCGUGUGUGGGGUAAUGAGUACUUGCACCAUAAAUCAAGGAGCUCUCUGGCAGAGGACUGCGAAAAUACCCAGGCUUGUUAGUCAAUGGGGAAAGGAAGCUAACAGUUUAAAAUGCAGUUGCGAAGAGAGCCCCGCAAAUGUGACUGAUGUGUGUGAGGUCAAACCUCUGAGUUGCCUGUGAGACAUUAUUGUGUCCUGGACUGACGAACCGUGUCCAGGAGAAGGAACCUGUACAGAAAUACACCCAGGAGGGUUACUGGAGCAGAGCAAAGCUUAUCUACAAGAAUACACUUGGAAUAUUUGUCUGGCUAAUGCGGCAAAAGCAAACGUGGAGGAGGGAGUAUGGCUGCUGGUAACAAAAAAGCAAGGGCAGAAUCAAGGAGUGGCCAUUCAAGCUAAUAAACAAGGUUGAUAGAACAGUGUAGAUCUAAAUUAGAGAAGCUGCUGACGGCUGGUUUCUGGUGAGGAGGGUGAUCGGAAUGAAGAUGCAACAGGAGUGUUCACACAGAACAGAUUCACGCCAGCUGGUGAUCACACUAUUAAUUUCCCUUUCUUCCCUGUGGUGACGUUAUCUCUUUUUUUACCAACUACAAAAUCGUGUUUGUCGUCUUCAUGAGAACAGCAACUUUCCAGAUGAGAGCAGGAACCACAUCAGGGCACUCGUGAAGGGACGGAACACUGGACCUGAGCUUGGCUGAGGUCAUUGGCAGCGCUGGAUGCACAGGAGCUAGGCUAGUAGGGAGCCAGGAGGGCACAGGGUAAGAUUUGAUGUACUGCUGGAAGACUGUGUGAUAGAGCUAUGCUGCUUGUUUGUUUGUUUGUUCUUAAGGAAAUCAAAGCAUUUAAGUUUUAAGGUUGUAGUGCUUAUGUUUUGCAGUAGUAGAGCCUAAGUCUUAUGAGGAGUGGCUGAGGGAACUGAGAUUGUUUAGUCUGGAGAAGAAGAGGCUCAGGGAAGACCUUACCACUCUCCAACUACCUGAAAGAGAGUUGUGGUGAGGGGUUGGUCUCUUCCUCCAUGUAACUAAUGAUAGGACUAGAGGGAAUGGCAGGCAAGCACACUGUAAAGGGAGAUCAUAAACCACCAGAUAAAAUGUGCUGGCAGUUCUUUUUCCCUCGUGUUAAACUGUGUAUAGUCUUCAUUUAAGUAUCUUUGCAAUCAGGGAGACAAAAUUUGAACAGGUGCCUGGUGUAUGAUGCAGAUCCAUGGGGUGUACACAGACCCAGCCUACUUGCUUAGUCUCCCCACUCCUCCCAAAUCCACACUGCCUCUCUGCUACACCACUGUUGUAGUCUGCGUGGCCCCGUGCUGAGCCACUGCGGCCCCGUGAAUCUGUAGAAAGCUAACCCAGCCUAGAAAAGCAAAUUGUGAAAUAGUUGCUAGCGGUCAGGGAUUCAGACAGGACAGAGGAACAGAGUUAACUCCAUCCACAGCUCAAAAUGGUUUCAACUCACACCUGUUGCUUCUCACGAGGUGGUUUUAGUUUUGAGAAGUAAAGCAAACUAGAUUACAUUCUGGCAGAACUAGAUUGAAUUAAUGAGUUUUACCGUGCAAGUAGAGGGGACAACAAGCGUGAACGCAAUUAACUGUGGCUCUGCCAGCAGAUACUCAUUAAGUUGCUGUAGCUGUCACUUCCAAUUGUGUGCUCCCGUCCCCAGGGAUUGUACUUUAUUUUUUUAAACAAUUUGAAAGACAUGGAGACAAUAGAAGUAGGAAUACCAAAGUCUCCUCUCGGCCAUAAUUUAAUUUUCUAAUCAGAAAGGAGCAUUCAGGCUUCAGUCCCGUGGGCUUGUUUCAGAGGAUGACCACUUUGGUAGCUCUGCACAUGGGGACAGCUUUCUGUUGUUACCUUCUCAUUAAUGCUCUUUCCUGACACCACAGAUUAACUGUGUGGAGGAAGGGGGAUCACUCACCAAGGGGUGGGGCUGAUGAUUUUUAACUACUUUGUGAAGCCCUGUAUCCAUCCCUGUCACGUAAUAAGGUCGUUGUGUUUAAUUGAAGAUGGUGGUUAAAUGUAAAAAGAGUAAUUGCUCCUGGCCUGUUUUUAUUAGGAGUGAAAAUUUGAUCGACCAUUCCCAAAGCACUGAGAAAUCUAAAUGGAAAUAUCCUGGCUUGGCUUGUGACCUCAUUUUUCUUGUUCUUAGUGGAGUUUCGGUGGACUUCUGCUGAUGCGUUACGCGUCUUACAGCAAAGAGUUCUUUUACUUACCACAAAAGCAAACAGGAAACCUCGGUGAUAUUAUUAAUGUUAAUGAAAAGCUUCCACUAUGUGCCUUAAGUUUUGUAAGAAAUACUCAUCUGCCAAUGAAGUUAAGUUAAAUGGCUGUCAUCCAUACGUAGAUUCAAAACAGGGGAGUCAGCUUCAGGAUAUAAAAAACCCCCGUGAAAUAAAUUAACAACAGCUAAUUUAUUAUUCCAUUUGACUCUCUCUUUCUCCUUAUGAUGUUUAAAAAUAAUUCAAUCACAAGAUUUAAGAGGAAGUGGAAAUAAUGAUGAUCUGUUUUUAUUAAGGUACAAAACUCUUGGAGUAUCUAUGGCAAACAGAGUAGACAUUGCUGUCUGAGUCAGACUUGAAAGGAAAUGUUUAAUCCCCUAUUUUAAUAACCAGCAUAUGAGCAACAGGACCUUGUAUUUCACAAGCAUUAGAUUUUUGUAUGUGUCAAUAAAAAAAUCAGUACUACAGUUACAGUAGUAUUAUAUUUUUAUAUGGUUACUUUGAGUGAAACAUUCAAUCUUUAAGAUGCCUUAAUUGCUGCGAGUUACACUGGAAAUUAAAAUAAGCUUUCCAAUCUACUCUUCCUGUAUUUAUUUCUUAAAUGCGCAUUUUCUUAAAUGGGGCAGUACUUAAUCACCUCAGAUGUGAUCAAAUCAUAGCUGAGAUAAUUUUGUACAUGUGCUGAAACUGGUUUAGUACUAUGGGUGCAUGUCAGAGUAGAGGCGUUUGUUCUGGAUGUUUGGAUCUGUGUUGCCUGUUCUAGGCAGGGAAGAGCAAAUGGCAUGCGACCCCUGCCCCGGGUCCCUGAAUAGGGGCAGUUUUAAGGGCACACCAGGUCCAGCUCCUGGCUCCACACAGGACCACCCAAAAUCAAACCCUAUGUCUGAGAGCAGUGUCCAAAUGCUCCGUGAACCCUGACACUCGGGGCCAUGCCCACAGCCCUGGGCAGCCGGUUCCAUGCCCACCACCUUCUGGUGCAGCCCCUUUCCCUAACUCCCAGCUGCCCCUCCCCUGACAACUCCAUGCCGUUCCCUCAG
ensembl:lncRNA